GAGGGUAUAGCUCAGUGGUAGAGUGCAUGUAUGAGGUCCUGGGUUCAAUCCCCAGUACCUCCA
rfam:Camelus ferus unplaced genomic scaffold scaffold1212, whole genome shotgun sequence.